UACGUAGGGGGCAAGCGUUGUCCGGAAUCAUUGGGCGUAAAGCGCGCGUAGGCGGCCCGGUAAGUCCGCUGUAAAAGUCCAGGGCUCAACCCUGGAAAGCCGGUGGAUACUGUCGGGCUAGAGUCCGGAAGAGGCGAGUGGAAUUCCUGGUGUAGCGGUGAAAUGCGCAGAUAUCAGGAAGAACACCUAUGGCGAAGGCAGCUCUCUGGGACGGUACUGACGCUGAGACGCGAAAGCGUGGGGAGCGAACAGG
rnacentral:rRNA from 1 species